rnacentral:rRNA from 1 species
UCGCUGCCUGGAACUGAGCUGUUUCGAGAAGAACAGGGACUGCAAUUGAGUGGCCCUUUCGGGCUGCCCUCUAGUGGAAACUGUUUUAAUCGGUAUGGCUUGAACCGGGCAA